AUUAGAAAAAAUAUACCCUUUUCAUAUAAAAAAAUACGAUUUCCAUUUUUCAAUUAUUUCCUAUAUAUAUAUAUACUGUGUGCAUCAAUAAAGAUUUUUAUUUUCUCCUCCAAAUUUUACACAUUCAAAGCCUUCUAGUUAAGAUUCGUCGUGCACAAGAGGAUCGUCGUCGAUUCUGCAAGUUACCGUCACCGAUUCGUGCAUUUCGAAGCCCUCGAUUCAUCUGGUCGCCAUCGCCGAUGCCGAUUCGUGCAUCUGCAAGUCGUCGUCACCGAUUCGUGCAUUUCGAAGCCCUUCUGGUCGCCGUCGAUUUUAUGUGUUUCGAAGCCCUCGAUUAAUCUGGUCGCCGUCGCCGAUUCGUGCAUCUGCAAGUCGUCGUCACCGAUUCGUGCAUUUCGAAGCCCUUCUGGUCGCCGUCGAUUUUAUCUUUAUUGGAGAUAUUGCCACGGGUAGACUCUCUGGAAAUACAAUCAUGAUUGGGAAGGUUCUUCUUAAUGAAAGAAAGAGGAGACUAGACUAUGGUGCUGUGGUGGGCUCCAGGUCCGGCCCAAUUAUUCACUAACGGGCUUUGCAUUGUUUGAAAGCGGGAGCCCAGGCGUGGGUGCAGGUAGACGUAGAACUGUAGAAGCUCUUCGGCCUACGGUAUAUGACAUCACGCAAUGAGCUCAAGGAAAGGAAAUGCUGCAAUGAGAGGUGCGGCAGACAAAUGGAGUUCUAACGAUGGUAAAAAGAAGCUACAAGAAUAGCAAUGCAUGAUUACUUAGAACCAGAAAGCCAUGACAUGAAUUCUGCCGAGUUGACUGAACAAUGCAUAUUAUAAUUAUAACCUUCCAAAAAUAGUAGCAUAGCAUCUACUAGAUUUCUUUUGUGAGUUUUUAAAAUUCUUUUAUUUCAUAUAGUAGGGAUUUUUGUUCUUAAUUAUGAAAAUAAAAAUAAAUAAAUAAAUAAAACUUGUGUCAUUGCAGGUGAA